GUGGGGAAUCUUAGACAAUGGGCGCAAGCCUGAUCUAGCCAUGCCGCGUGAGCGAUGAAGGCCUUAGGGUUGUAAAGCUCUUUCGUGGGGGAAGAUAAUGACUGUACCCCAAGAAGAAGCCCCGGCUAACUCCGUGCCAGCAGCCGCGGUAAUACGGAGGGGGCUAGCGUUGUUCGGAAUUACUGGGCGUAAAGCGCACGUAGGCGGACUGGAAAGUCAGGGGUGAAAUCCCGGGGCUCAACCCCGGAACUGCCUUUGAAACUCCCAGUCUUUAGUUCGAGAGAGGUGAGUGGAAUUCCGAGUGUAGAGGUGAAAUUCGUAGAUAUUCGGAGGAACACCAGUGGCGAAGGCGGCUCACUGGCUCGAUACUGACGCUGAGGUGCGAAAGCGUGGGGAGCAAACAGGAUUAGAAACCCGUGUAGUCC
rnacentral:rRNA from 1 species